UACGUAGGGUGCAAGCGUUGUCCGGAAUUAUUGGGCGUAAAGAGCUUGUAGGCGGUUUGUCGCGUCUGCUGUGAAAUUUCGGGGCUCAACCCCGAACUUGCAGUGGGUACGGGCAGACUAGAGUGUGGUAGGGGAGACUGGAAUUCCUGGUGUAGCGGUGAAAUGCGCAGAUAUCAGGAGGAACACCGGUGGCGAAAGCGGUCUUCUGGACGAAUACUGACGCUCAGGUCGAAAGCCAAGGUAGCAAA
rnacentral:rRNA from 1 species